rnacentral:tRNA from 1 species
GUUUUAUAGUUUAUUAAGAAUAAAGAUUGCAAGUCUUUAGGUGUGACUAUCACUAAAACUUU